CCUACGGGUGGCUGCAGUGAGGAAUAUUGGUCAAUGGGCUUACGCCUGAACCAGCCAAGUCGCGUGAGGGAGGACGGCCCUACGGGUUGUAAACCUCUUUUGCCGGGGAGCAACGGGCGUCACGUGUGGCGCCACUGAGAGUACCCGGAGAAAAAGCAUCGGCUAACUCCGUGCCAGCAGCCGCGGUAAUACGGAGGAUGCGAGCGUUAUCCGGAUUUAUUGGGUUUAAAGGGUGCGUAGGCGGAUCGUUAAGUCAGUGGUCAAAUUGAGGGGCUCAACCCCUUCCCGCCAUUGAAACUGGCGUUCUUGAGUGGAAGAGAAGUAUGCGGAAUGCGUGGUGUAGCGGUGAAAUGCUUAGAUAUCACGAAGAACUCCGAUUGCGAAGGCAGUUCACUGGACUGCAACUGACACUGAGGCUCGAAAGUGUGGGUAUCAAACAGGAUUAGAUACCCCAGUAGUC
rnacentral:rRNA from 1 species